AGUUCACUUGGUUUGAACGUCAGUUUAGGGUACUGAAAGAGCAGGUUCGACUCCUGCCGAGG
rnacentral:tRNA from 1 species